rnacentral:rRNA from 1 species
GAGUUUGAUCCUGGCUCAGAUUGAACGCUGGCGGCAUGCCUUACACAUGCAAGUCGAACGGCAGCAUGAUCUAGCUUGCUAGAUUGAUGGCGAGUGGCGAACGGGUGAGUAAGUACAUCGGAACGUGCCCUGUAGUGGGGAUAACUAGUCGAAAGAUUAGCUAAUACCGCAUACGACCUGAGGGUGAAAGUGGGGGACCGCAAGGCCUCAUGCUAUAGGAGCGGCCGAUGUCUGAUUAGCUAGUUGGUGGGGUAAAGGCCCACCAAGGCGACGAUCAGUAGCUGGUCUGAGAGGAC